UGUGUGGUCAAAAAACGGGCAG
rnacentral:misc_RNA from 1 species